GCAAGAGAGCAAGGGAAUUUUGGAAUGGAAAAGAAGAGAGAAAGUGGAGAAAAGAGAGGAAAGAUGUGAAUGCUUAAGGUGUGUUUUUAAAAUGACCAGCCUAAGGGGGUUUUUAUAGCUGAGGAGGGCUGCUAAAAAUAGCUAAAAUUAUCAGCCAAAGAGCCCUCCCUUGGCCGGCCACACAUGUGGCAAGGUUGAUAGUUUC
rnacentral:lncRNA from 1 species